AAGACCACGAUGAGAAAGAAGAGUAGUCUGAACUGAACUGACAGCGAGUCCCGGUUGGUGUGAGGGGAUGAGGGAAGUUGAGAUGAAAAUCCCUUUCGAGUGUUGGCCCGAACAUAGUAGGGUCCAUUGGGAACGCCCAUUAUAGCGUUAGCGUAUCGCUCAAAGUAUGACUUAGGGCCGUACGUGAAAGGUAACUGCAGCGAUGUGGUUAUGAAUGCAGGGUGGUACCACGCACAAGAGGCGUCCUUGAA
rnacentral:ncRNA from 1 species